GUCCUUUUGUGUUUAAUUUAAGGUCUCGCCUGCCCACUGUAUGAUAAAGGGCCGCAGUAUACUGACUGUGCUAAGGUAGCAUAAUAAUUAGUUUCUUAAUUGGAAGCUGGUAUGAAUGGUUGGAUAAGAAAAUAACUGUCUCUAUUUAAAAAAAUGAAUUUUAUUUUUAAGUAAAAAAGCUUAAGUUUAUUUAAAAGACGAGAAGACCCUAUAGAGUUUUAUUUUUAUAAAAAUUAGGUUAUAUUAUUAUUAUAAAAAUUUAUUUUUUAGAGAAAUUUGGUUGGGGCGAUUUAAAAAUUAAAAAAACUUUUUUUAUUUUAAACCAUUGAUAUAUGAAUUUAUGAUCCAUUGUUUUGAUUAAAAGAUUAAAUUACCUUAGGGAUAACAGCGUAAUUUUUUUCAAGAGUUCUAAUCGAAAAAAGAGAUUGCGACCUCGAUGUUGGAUUAAAAUAAAUUUUGGUGUAGAAGCUAAAGUAUUUAGGUCUGUUCGACCUUUAAAAUUUUACAUGA
rnacentral:rRNA from 1 species